AUCAUACUCCCUCCGUCCCAAAAUUCUUGUCUUAGAUUUGUCUAAAUGUGGAUGUUAUCUAGUCACGUUUUAGUGUUAGAUAUAUCCGUAUCUAGACAAUUUUUUUGGGACGGAGGUAAUACUUU
rnacentral:pre_miRNA from 1 species